CUGAUCUCAAAUCGGGUAAGACUACCCGCUGAACUUAAGCAUAUCAAUAAGCGGAGGA
rnacentral:rRNA from 1 species